rnacentral:rRNA from 1 species
UUUAGCGGCGGACGGGUGAGUAAUGCCUAGGAAUCUGCCUGGUAGUGGGGGAUAACGUUCCGAAAGGAACGCUAAUACCGCAUACGUCCUACGGGAGAAAGCAGGGGACCUUCGGGCCUUGCGCUAUCAGAUGAGCCUAGGUCGGAUUAGCUAGUUGGUGAGGUAAUGGCUCACCAAGGCGACGAUCCGUAACUGGUCUGAGAGGAUGAUCAGUCACACUGGAACUGAGACACGGUCCAGACUCCUACGGGAGGCAGCAGUGGGGAAUAUUGGACAAUGGGCGAAAGCCUGAUCCAGCCAUGCCGCGUGUGUGAAGAAGGUCUUCGGAUUGUAAAGCACUUUAAGUUGGGAGGAAGGGCAGUAAGUUAAUACCUUGCUGUUUUGACGUUACCGACAGAAUAAGCACCGGCUAACUUCGUGCCAGCAGCCGCGGUAAUACGAAGGGUGCAAGCGUUAAUCGGAAUUACUGGGCGUAAAGCGCGCGUAGGUGGUUCGUUAAGUUGGAUGUGAAAGCCCCGGGCUCAACCUGGGAACUGCAUCCAAAACUGGCGAGCUAGAGUACGGUAGAGGGUGGUGGAAUUUCCUGUGUAGCGGUGAAAUGCGUAGAUAUAGGAAGGAACACCAGUGGCGAAGGCGACCACCUGGACUGAUACUGACACUGAGGUGCGAAAGCGUGGGGAGCAAACAGGAUUA